UACGUAGGGGGGCAAGCGUUUGUCCGGAAUCAUUGGGCGUAAAGCGCGCGUAGGCGGCCCGGUAAGUCCGUUGUGAAAGUCAAAGGCUCAACCUUUGAACGCCGAUGGAUACUGCCGGGCUAGAGUCCGGAAGAGGCGAGUGGAAUUCCUGGUGUAGCGGUGGAAUGCGCAGAUAUCAGGAGGAACACCAAUAGCGAAGGCAGCUCGCUGGGACGGUACUGACGCUGAGGCGCGAAAGCGUGGGGGAGCGAACAGG
rnacentral:rRNA from 1 species